UACAGGGUAGUCCACCUGAGACAGACAGUGCACAGAGGAGUACUGAGCUGUGCGUGGAUACACACAGGUAUUUCAAGAUUCCUGUGAGCUACGGCCACAGAUGCAUGUACUCAGAGAUUACAACUUUAUCUGACUGUGGGAGGAUCUAUAGGGACUGUGACCCUAGAUCUCACAUCAUGGUUUGGAGGCCAUGUGUAAUUGAAGACCAAACUGACGCUGCACUGGACCCAUGGGAACCCGAGUGGCUGGGUCAUGAGCCAUGCCUUCAAGUGGGAGUAGGGGGCCUUUUAUCCCUGGCCUGGUCUACUGGGCCACCUUGCCGAGAGUUACAGGGUGAGACCGUGGGGUUUUCAAGAUGGAUCACGAGAGCUUCAUUGAGAGCAGAGCUUUCUUUCCCAACCUACACAGGCAGGAGCAGCUCAGGAAGGUGUAAGUAGUGUGGGCAUGGGCCUGCUCCUAGUUCUUGUGUGAACAGGAAGGAAGGGAAUGGAGGUUGCAGACCCCAGCCCCAGCCCCUAGUGAUUGGUAGUCUAAGUGGUCCUUCCCCCAAAUAGGCUGGUCAGAGGCUCUCAAUGCCCAGCACCCAGGGCUACACACACUGGCCUUUAUUCUCAAGAAGCCUCUCUGUGGAACAGACUUGCAGUCCCCCACUACCCCUGGUGGGAUUCCCAGAAGAGUGUGAAAUGGGUCCUUUGUGCUGGGACCACCAUCUCAUUCUUGAAAACAAGCCCCAAGCAGCAGAAGAUAAAAGGGAGGGAAAAAGACUUUAGGGCGGGCCUAGUGGUGACAUCAGGGAAGGGAACCUUUUCUAAGUUCCAGCUUUGUCACAGCAAGACCAAGAGGCAUUGGAAAGUGAGGAACACUAUCCUUGGAGCAGGAGGUUAGUGACUCAUUUAUGGCCCUGGGGCUGGGUGCAUGAGGGGGCUACCAGAGAUUCCACUGGGGAGAGACUGGGAAAAGUGAUAAGGCCCCACAAGUUGAGGGACUCAAGUGCAGCCUGGAGACCUGAGCAUCUUCUCCAGAUCCUAUGAGGGUUUCAGAAGACACUUGGAACUAAGGACAUACAAAAAGGGCUGGUGGGCAGCAGAGGGGAACUCAUGUCCAUCAGCUGUGACCACCCUGGCCAUGAAGUAGGGAGGGGUCUGGCUUCAGAGUGAGUCCAGAAGGCAGGGCCAUUUCUGUGGCACUUCAUAGGCAGAUGGAGCAGUGGUCCAUAGCACUAACACCUUAGUUUAAAUUUUCUGGAUGGAUGCAUAUAUACACUCUAGAGCAGUGGUCCUCAAUUUUCCUAAUGCUGUGGCCCUUUAAAAAGUUCCGCAUGUUGUGGUGACCCUCAAUCAUGAAAUUAUUUUUGUUGCUACCU
ensembl:sense_overlapping 9230112E08Rik RIKEN cDNA 9230112E08 gene